CUAGGGCUCGGCAUUUUCUUCCUCUGCACUGUGCACAUCAAAUGCAUUCCUUCUCCCCGACACCCGACGCCCCCAAGCUUCUUAAUCUCCGAUCUUCUUCAAUCCGGUGACAGAUGACAAUGCGGAGACUUUUGUGAACGAUAUCCUCUACUAGGGUUCAUUCUCCGGUGGAGUGUUUUAGGCCGGCGCAGUGAGCCCCGUCCCUCCCGAUUCUUGGCAGACUUCGGCGGCACCUAAUUAGGGCUUCCUUGACGACGGAGCGUUCUCCUCCAGCGAGGCACCCCUUCUCCAUCCCUUCCUUAGUGGAUGUUCUUCCCGUGGACGACGUUGCGAAAGCGGAAGAUUCCAAGGAGUAAGCCAGUUGAUUCAUCUUCAUCUUCUCCGGUGGAAGCUGCUGUGGAGCCCUUCUUCUAUGGACAACGUUCCGAAAGCAGAAGUCUCCUCCACCUCAGUGGUGUAUACAACUCUGGCAGAAGCUCAUCAUCUUCAAGCUCAAUCUCUGUUCUUCAAUUCCAGCAAAACUUACUAAAGCAAAUCCAAGGCUGAUGCUGCUGUGAACUCCCGUGGAAGGCGUUUCGAAGGCAAGAAUUCCAGCAACCUCAGUCUCAAUGGUAUCAACAUUCAGUCGUUGAGUUGCUGUCUACCGGGGCUGGCAUUCCAAAUCCAGAUCUCCAUGUGAUGGAAGAGGUAGUGGAUUGGUGGUUGAUCAUGGAAGAGUGGGUUGGAUAGUGUAGCUUACUUUUCUAUUUGAUUGUUCAUGUUUAGUUGUAGCUUAAUUUCGUGUUUGAUUUAUGUGUUCUUUCCUUCUAAUGCAUGUUUGAUUAUUUAGUUUAGUAUUUGUUUAGUUUCAUUUAUGUAUGAUUAUUGAUCUUGUAUCAUAACAUGACAAUAUGGUACAGGUUUAGCUUUUAUGUAUAGUUAGGUUUUGUUUAAUCACUAUUAAGUUUGUUUAGUUUAA